GGUCUUAUAGUUUAAUAAAAACUUUAAAUUGCAAAUUUAAUAAUGGUCGGUCCUAAGACUU
rnacentral:tRNA from 1 species